UUUUUUUUCUUCCUUUUACUUCUCUUGUUCUCUUUUCUCCGCAGGAAAUGAAGACAGAAGUUACCCUUGCUGCAAAGCAGCAACAACAAAGAGGUAACCCCCUCCCCACAUAAGGGGAGGAGGACAGACCUGACUUUUUUUGUCUUUUAUCCACAGGAAAUGAGGAUAGAAAUUAUCCUCGCUGCAAAGCAGCAACAACAAAGGGUGCGGAGGCCCCAACAGAAAUUUCUCCGCUCCACACACACAACUUCCUGCAGGCAUCUCCAAUGUGAGCACAAACAGAGAUCACUUUGUCCCCCCACCCUUCCCAUAAAGGAACAGGACAGAUCUGAGCUGCUGCUCUGAUCCCCACAGAACACAAAAACAUAAAUGAUCCUAGCAAAAAGCCUGCAGCAACGAUGGGUGCGGAGACCCCGCCACAAACUCCGCUCCAAGCAAACCUCCAGCUCUCAACAAGAAUGAGGCUGGAGACAAUCCAACCCCUCCAUCACGGAGGAGUUGGAAGGAUGAAUGUGGAGGCCUCAGCUCCUCUGUUCCACCUGCUCUUCCUUACUUUACCUUACUCUGGCUCAGAACAAACCAAAUUUAUUCUCUGUACCCCUCCCCGCCCCACGUAAGGGGAGGAGGACAGAUCAGACUUUCUUAUAUUAUAUAUAUAUAUAUAAUUAUAUAGAUAAUAAUUAUAUAUAAUUAAAUUAAUGAGGAUAUUAUCCUCAAAAUGUGGAAAUUAUCCACACAGAUAUCAAUAUAUCUAGAUAUCCUACUCUACAUAAUCCUACUCUACAUAAUCCUAGUCUAUGCCAGAACCGCGCCGAAUUUAUCCUCUGUCCCCCUCCCCGCUCCAUGUAAGGGGAGGAGGACAGAUGACUUUCUUAUAUUAGUUAUAUAUAUAUAUAUAAAAUUAUAUAGAUAAUAAUUAUAUAUAAUUAAGUUAAUGAGGAUAUUAUACUCGAAAUGUGGAAAUUAUCCACAGAGAUAUCAAUAUAUCUAGAUAUCCUAGUCUACAUAAUCCUAGUCUACAUAAUCCUAGUCUAUGCCAGAACCGCGCCGAAUUUAUCCUCUGUCCUCCUCCCCGCCCCAUGUAAGGGGAGGAGGACAGAUGAGACUUUAUUAUAUUAGUUAGAUAUAUAAUUAUAUAUAUAUAUAUAAAAUUAUAUAGAUAAUAAUUAUAUAUAAUUAAGUUAAUGAGGAUAUUAUACUCGAAAUGUGGAAAUUAUCCACAGAGAUAUCAAUAUAUCUAGAUAUCCUAGUCUACAUAAUCCUACUCUACAUAAUCCUACUCUACAUAAUCCUACUCUACAUAAUCGUAGUCUACAUAAUCGUAGUCUACGUUAUCCUACUCUACGGCAGAACACACCAAAUUUAUCCUCUGUCCCCCUCCCCACCCCACGUUAAGGGGAGGAGGACAGAUCAGACGCUCCUCUCAUACAUACAUGACAAAUGAGGAUAUUAUCCUCAAAUUUCUAAACCGUCCACAUCGACCACACUUCCUCCAGCCAUCUCCAACGUGAGUACAAACAGCAACCCCUGUGUCCCCCCACCCUUCCCAUAAAGGAACAGGACAGAUCUGAGCUGCUGCUCUGAUCCCCACAGAACACAAAAACAUAAAUGAUCCUAGCAAAAAACCUGCAGCAACGAUGGGUGCGGGGGCCCCGCCUCAAACUCCGCUCCAAGCAAACCUCCAGCUCUCAACAAGGUUGAGGCUGGGGACAAUCCAACCCCUCCAUCACGGAGGAGUUGGAAGGACGGAUGCGGAGGCCCCAACUCCUCUGUUCCACCU